UAUAUACCACACUCUGUUUAUCCAUUCAUGAAUCUACAGACACUUCAGUUGAUCCAAUAUCUUGGCUACUGUGAAAAGUAAACAUGGAAGUGCAUAUGUCUCUUCACGAUACUGAUUUCAUUUCCUUUUGCUGUAUACCCAGAAGUGGGAUUGCUGAGUCAUAAGCUCCCCAACCUCGGAUUGAACCCAGGCCCUCCUCUCAGCAGUGAGAGCACGAAGUCUUAACCACUGGACAGCCGGGGAACUCCUAAAAAAAUAUUGUUUCUUUUUGCUAUAUGACCAGAAGUGGAGUUGCUGGAUCACAUGCAGCAAGAGGAAAAUCAUGCACUACCUCCUUAGAUUCUUAUCACCGGGGUGUGUUUAACAAGCAGAGCUUAGCUGAGGCAGGGAAAGGCUCUUGGAGGAACCAUCACUGCUUCCCUCGUGAUGAGAAGACCUGGCAAAAUUAUGAAGAAUGGCCCUGACCAGGGAGAGACUUGGGAGAUGAGAACUUUUGCUAAUCAGCAAAGCUGUAUCUGAGUCCAGACUCUUGCCUCCAGCCUUUAGACUGAAGAAGGACCUGGCAGCCCCAGGGGGCCAAGGAGGCCCACCUGUCUGUUUGCUUCUCUGGGAGCUGCUCCCACAUGUCGUGCAGUCUGGGCACAGCGCCAAUGCGAGCUCUGCUUUCAGGACUUUGCAUCUCUCUUUCUCUGUGAAGACUCCAAGCCUGCCCGGGUUUGGAAGGCUCUCUGCUGCCUCUUCACACUUAUCUCUGAAUGAGAGAAACCCAGCCCGGCUCCCCUGAGCAAGGCUGAAUGAGCCCCGAGAUCUAAACUGGCACGAGCUACAGCUUGAGAACCACUCGUGCUAAAAUGGAAAAGGACUUGGAGAGCGCAGCGCCUUUUCAAGAGAACGGAGAGGAAGAUUCAACAGCGGGAGGAACUGAAACAGCCACUGGGAUUACUGUCCUAGCCUCAGGUAUGGUUUGAGUGGCACCGACCCUGGGCUGCUGGGAGCCUAGACACCGUCCACAACAUCAUGGGCAAUGACCUGUGAGCUAGGAGUACCACCUGGAUUAGCGAGCCUCUAGGGCAAAACAAAUGCUUUCAGGGACACUCCACUGACUCACAGACUGAGAAUAGAGAUGAUCUUCAUUGUGACCAUCUGCAAAAGCUUCUUAUGAAUGUAUUUAUUAGAGGAGGGAAUCGACAAACUACUCCAGGAAAGGGCAGGGCUUCCCUGGUAGCGCAAUGGUUGGGAAGCCGCCUGCCAAUGCAGGAGACACGGGUUCGAGCCCUGGUCCAGGAGGAUCCCACAUGCCGCAGAGCAACCAAGCCCGUGCGCCACAACUACUGAGGCUCGCGCGCCUAGAGCCCAUGCUCCACAACAAGAGAAGCCACCGAAGUGAGAAGCCCACGCACCGCAAUGAAGAGUAGCCCUGGCUCGCCGCAACUAGAGAAAGCCCGCGUGCAGCAGCGAAAACCCAACGCAGCCAAAAAUGAAUAAAUAAAUUGAUUAAAAAAAAAAAAAGUACCUGCUGGGUGAGGUUAAGUGGACUUUUUUUUUUAAGUGGACUUUUAAAUGCCCUUUUAAGUAAAAUCUGAGGCAAGAGAAUAGAAAUCUGACCGUGACGUUAUCACUGACGUUCUGUGUCGCCUGAACGAUGAAGACAAUGACCAGCCCAGAAAACCAUUCAUCAGUCUGAGGAAAGUGUGUCACCAUGGAAAACCUUGGUAAAGAACACAUUCUAAGUCACUCACU